AUGACACUUAACAAACACCUUUCUUUCCACUUUGCAUGCUUUAGUUUUCGUCGUCAACGACCUCAACGUGAAGCAAGAUAUGUUCAUAGCUAUGGCAAUGGCGAGAAGCCUAAGACCGUCCAGGGACUCCGAGUGGCGCUGAAGCGGACCGACAUAACAGAGCUGCUGCAGGAAGUCGUUCUGCUGAACUUGGUGGUGCCGGAGCGGGGCUCCUGCACGCUCGCGACCAGAUCUGACAGUUUCUAUUUAUUUUACACAAAUGAUCUGUUCGAGUGUCAGGCCUUCCUCGGCAAGGAGCACUUGGUUCCAACAUCGACGUCACUUCCGUUCACCUCCGACUACAAUGAACAAGGUAUGGGGCUCCGCUCCAGCUGA
rnacentral:rRNA from 1 species